UCCUGCGUGACCUCGUGAACUCGCCUGCAGCGUGACCUCGAGAGGCAGCCACCCUGACGGCUCCACGAAACACCCCUCCACAUCCCUGGGCUCGGUUGUGCAGGCUGCUACCCAAGCAGGAAGUGACAUCAACGGGUCCAAACUAAAAAAACAUGUAGCAGGACGGGGCUGUCUGGGAUGACCAGGACCGGUGGUUUGCGAGGGAAGGAGGAUGCCACGCGCAAAGUGAGGGACGCGGGAGAGCGCCGCACACACACAGGCGAGCCAGACAGACGCACUGGAGGCUGAUGGCCUCCCUGGUCUGGGUGGAGCUGACGGAGAGCUGCAGCCCCGGACGGCAUCAAACCGGCCGCUCGUACCUCUGCUCCUGGCUAUCAUCACCCACUCUGGCCCCGUCGUGAUGAUCACCUGAUCUCUGCCAGUGUAGUCCCAUGCAGCCGGCACAGUGAGGCCCGUCAAGCCAUUAGCGAGUCCCAGCACUGAUAAUGAAGCCACUGAGGUGGUCUGAGCCAGUGUGGCGCAGGAGCUGGAGCGCGGGAGGAAGGUAGAUUAGGAUAAUUACCUGGCCAUGGGGGCACGAUGACAAAGACUCACUUCCUGCAGGCUUCAAUCGCGGAGGGGCACAAUAUAAUCAGGUGUCCUCACAUGUAUGUACUGUACGUGUGUUCAUUUGCUGUUUGUGUGUCGAGGUUCCUCACACGUUCUGUGAGUUUAAUCCUAAAUAUCCACACUCAUGGAGACUUUGAAGAGCCUAUGAGAAUGUUCUCUUGGAAGUUCCAUUUUCAAAAAGUCUCCUUGUUGACCCGCAUCUAUUUAAUUUGUCAGAUGUUCCAGGGUAUUAUCAGCACACUCACAACAUUUAUGUGGUGUUAUUUAUAACCAGAUUUGACAGCAUUGGAGUCUUCAUACGAUGAUCGUGCCUGUUGAGCUUGUUGUGCACCAGACUGUUGUGACUACUCGCCUGCUUGUCAGUUGACUCUGGCUGCCUGAACACUGAUAUGACUGACUGGGAGCAGUGGGGCCGAGCUCCAGCUGACUCCACCGUCCUCCUCGCCCAUAUUAAAUGUGCGUGGCCUGCCGUCCCUCUGGGGGCACCUGGCUCCCCUCCCUGCCAUCUCUGGCUGGAUCGAUUGCAGAGGCCAUCCCAGUACAGAGACCGGGGUCAGCUUCAAAGGCCGCCUGCCCACUUCCUGCCACCUGGUGUUCCGUUUUGGAUGAAGGGUAUAUUUCCCUUCCGUUCCCUCCGCACACCGUCGCCCCAUUCUUCGAACAGGUCAAGGACGUGGAGUGUGUACAGCUCCUCCCUGUGAUCUGCUUCAGCCCCGUCCCCGGCCGGCCACGCGGGGAGAGAGUGAAAGAUCAGUCCCAUCCAAGAACCACCAUCACACACCCGUUUGAAGUGAAACCUGCUUCUGAUUUAACUGUGGCCUAAGAAUGAGCCGGUUGUACAAGGUCAUAGUCAGAUUUUUCUUGGACUGACAAGUGGUGAGUUCAAUAUUUACAUCAUAUUGCGUCAAUCAAAUUUUAAAUAAAUCAAUCAUAAACUCAAUUAGAGGAUCGAUGGAAAUGUCCCCGUCAACACUAAAUGUUGUUUCUCAUUUGUGGCAUGAAUCUAUAAAUCAGCAUGAUGGAAAAGUUAUUUAAAAAAUAAAAGCUUGUUUAAAAUAAACCAGUAGAUAAAGUGAACUUUUUGGCUCCAGCUUGAAACAUGUUCCAGUAUUAACUGAUCAUCAGAUCUGCUGUGGUAUGAGCCUCUCUCUCCCUUUCCCGGUUGGUCCAGUAACAAAUGGCAGGGCUAUGGAACACACAUUUCAUGUCCACGAGAGCUGUCGGACAAUUAGCUCCA